rnacentral:rRNA from 1 species
UAGAGCAAAUCUCAAAAAAACAAUCUCAGUUCAGACUGCAGGCUGCAACUCGCCUGCACGAAGUCGGAAUUGCUAGUAACCGUAGGUCAGCAUACUACGGUGAAUACGUUCCCGGGCCUUGUACACACCGCCCGUCAAACCAUGAGAGUUGGCAACACCCGAAGUCGGUAGUCUAACCGCAAGGAGGACGCCGCCGAAGGUGGGGUUGAUGAUUAGGGUUAAGUCGUAACAAGGUAUC